rnacentral:sRNA from 1 species
AGUGAGGAGGUUAUACCCGGAGGUCUCAACGCUAGCUCGUGCUGCUCGUGUUGCCGCUGGGUACCUUUGCUGCCAGUGCUGAUCCAGCCGGAGGCGAAGAGAAGCACUUUGGGGGCAAAAGAAAAAUGAAGACGGGACAUUUUGAAAUAGUCACCAUGCUGCUGGCAACCAUGAUUCUAGUGGACAUUUUCCAGGACUAAAAACCGAAAACUGUAUUGAGAACCUAGAAUAUUUUCAGCCCAUCUAUGUCUACAACCCUGGUGAGAAAAACCAGAAGCUUGAAGACCAUAGUGAGAAAAACUGGAAGCUUGAAGACCAUGGUGAGAAAAACCAGAAGCUUGAAGACCAUGGUGUGAAAAUCCUUGAACCCACCCAAAUACCUGAGAUGGGGUCUCGCUAUGUUGCCCAGGCUCAAACUCCUGGUCUCAAGUGGUCCUCCUGCCUUGGCCUCCUAAAAUGCUGGAAUUACAGCUCCAGGUCCAGUUCCUGUUCCAGGUCCCAAAAGCCAUCCUUCUGCAUCCUUGGGCAAACUGCUGCUUCCACAGUUUGGGAUGGUCAUCAUUUUAAUCAGUGUUUCUGCUAUAAAUCUCUUUGUUGCUCUGUAGUUUGAUGCAUUGUUUAUCUUUCUUAUUCUUUACUUGAAAUAACUAUAGGGAUCCACAGGAGAUCAAAAGGAAUGAUGUAUUUUUUAACGUGUUGGCCAAAGUCACUGGAUAAAAUGAGAAUUGUAUAUUUGUUAUUCAUUUUGCAAAUUCAGAAAGUUGGUCC